rnacentral:rRNA from 1 species
CCUACGGGUGGCUGCAGUGGGGAAUAUUGCACAAUGGGCGCAAGCCUGAUGCAGCCAUGCCGCGUGUGUGAAGAAGGCCUUCGGGUUGUAAAGCACUUUCAGCGGGGAGGAAGGCGUUAAGGUUAAUAACCUUGUCGAUUGACGUUACCCGCAGAAGAAGCACCGGCUAACUCCGUGCCAGCAGCCGCGGUAAUACGGAGGGUGCAAGCGUUAAUCGGAAUUACUGGGCGUAAAGCGCACGCAGGCGGUCUAUCAAGUCGGAUGUGAAAUCCCCGGGCUCAACCUGGGAACUGCAUUCGAAACUGGCAGGCUAGAGUCGUGUAGAGGGGGGUAGAAUUCCAGGUGUAGCGGUGAAAUGCGUAGAGAUCUUGAGGAAUACCGGUGGCGAAGGCGGCCCCCUGGACAAAGACUGACGCUCAGGUGCGAAAGCGUGGGGAGCAAACAGGAUUAGAUACCCGGGUAGUC